ensembl:lncRNA
UUUUCUAAGAAUUAGAUCCAAGGUUGUGGAUUUUUUUUCUUUUUUCAUACAAGCUGAAGUCUUUAACUACUAGAGAAUAAAGAUGGACUAAGUACUGUAUUUGAACAAGACAAAAAGUUGGGAAGACCUUUCUCUAAAAAACAACAACAACCAUUGUGUAUCUCCAAAGGGGGCACGACAGCUUUCAGUGGGCAACUGGUUAUUUCUGCUGACCAUAUAUCGGGCAAACAUGCAGAAUUGCCUCCUAGAAAGUCGACUGUUCUUUGUUCGGUUUGGAGCCCUCUGCGAGCCAGUCAGCCUCUGUCCUGUGUGCUUUAAAUAUUAGCUCUUCUGUCAUUCGUCCAAACCCACCUCUUCUCCAUCUCCAUCUCAUUCUGGCCAGAGCGAGGUCCUUGUCCAAGUCUCCACCUGCUUCAUCUCUGCCACCACUGGCAUCUAAACUCCAGGUGGGGUCCAAUCUGACAAUAAGUGAGCUACUGGAACAAGGAUUAGGCAUAAACGGACAAAACAUGAGCUACCAAGUGAUAGAAACGUCAGGAUCAAGGAACACAAGAAGAUUGAGAAUAUAUUUAUAUGCAUUCUCUGAGCAUUUUCCUUUGUUCUUAGGUUAUUUUGAUUACUUUCAGUUCUGCAGAUGAAAACUAGAUUAUCAUCUACUGAGCUCCAUAUCAACAGCCCGGGCAAACAUCAAGGAACAUAAGACUGCAAAAUGAGAAACAAUGGAAUUUCUUUAACUUUUAGUUUGUCUUGUGAUCCCUUUCUUCGUGUCUUGUACUAAUACUGUACUGCUACAAGUAGCAGCCUCUUUGUCCUCUGCCUCCACCUUCAUCUCCACUCUUUAUAGCUGUCUGUCCACGUUUUGUCACUUAUAUUUCUUUCCAUGUCAGCCCUUCAGCUAAGUAUCUUUAGACAUCCAGUUGGGCUGUUUGAGUGCUCAGUGGAUCUUCAGGUGUGUCUCAUUGGCUUUGUAUACAGUUGUGGUUCCAUUUUAUACACACACCAUGUAACUGUAGCACCUGGGGUUUGACUGCAUAUUUUAUAAAAACGUUUUGUUACUCC